GAGGGUAUAGCUCAGUGGUGGAGCAUGUGCUUAGCAUGCAAGAGGUCCUGGGUUCAAUCCCCAGUACCUCCA
rnacentral:tRNA from 1 species